rfam:Salmo salar isolate Sally breed double haploid chromosome ssa12, whole genome shotgun sequence.
UCCCGUGUGGCUCAGUUGGUAGAGCAUGGUGUUUGCAACGCCAGGGUUGUGGGUUGUGGGUUUGAUUCCCACGAGGGAC